rnacentral:rRNA from 1 species
ACGGGUGAGUAACGCGUGAGAAUCUGCCUUUCAGUGAAGAAUACUCUCGAGAAAUCGAGCUUAAUGCUGCAUACGUCUUGAAAAAGAGAAAGAUGGCCUCUUGCUGUCGCUGAAAGAUGAGCUUGCGUACUAUUAGCUAGUUGGUGGGGUAAAGGCCUACCAAGGCGAUGAUGGUUAGCCGGCCUGAGAGGGUGUACGGCCACACUGGAACUGAGACACGGUCCAGACUCCUACGGGAGGCAGCAGUGGGGAAUAUUGCGCAAUGGGCGAAAGCCUGACGCAGCGACGCCGCGUGAAGGAUGAAGGUCUUCGGAUUGUAAACUUCUGUUAAGUGGGAGGAAAGAGCAGGCUUUAAUACAGCCUGAAGAUGACUGUACCAUUAAAGAAAGCACCGGCUAACUUCGUGCCAGCAGCCGCGGUAAUACGAAGGGUGCGAGCGUUAUUCGGAAUUAUUGGGCGUAAAGGGUGUGUAGGCGGCAUGAUAAGUCAAUUGUGAAAUACUCCGGCCUAACUGGAGAUAUGCAGUAGAUACUAUCUGUGCUAGAGGAUGGAAGAGAGAAGUGGAAUUCUUGGAGUAGCGGUAAAAUG